rnacentral:misc_RNA from 1 species
GUGAAUCAUCAAAUUUUUGAACGCAAAUUGCACUCUCUGGUAUUCCGGAGAGUAUGCCUGUUUGAGAGUCAGUUUAAAUAAAAAUCGGUUUGUUUGAUGACUUUCUUGGUGACGCACGGGGGUUGGGUCGUCUUGCCUUCGGUUAAGUGACCUAAAAAGUUGCAUGAUUUUUGUCGAACGUAUUUAAAUGAUUUUACGUACGUUUGCGAUAUCAAAUAGUAGAUGUGGUCAUCCUCAUGAUUCUCGCCUAUAAUUUUUCAUUAA